rnacentral:rRNA from 1 species
UACGAAGGGGGCUAGCGUUGUUCGGAAUUACUGGGCGUAAAGCGCACGUAGGCGGGUUUGUAAGUAGGGGGUGAAAUCCCCGGGCUCAACCCGGGAACUGCCUUCUAGACUGCAAGCCUGGAGGUCAGGAGAGGCGAGUGGAAUACCGAGUGUAGAGGUGAAAGUCGUAGAUAUUCGGUGGAACACCAGUGGCGAAGGCGACUCGCUGGACUGAUACUGACGCUGAGGUGAGAAAGCGUGGGGAGCAAACAGG